rnacentral:miRNA from 1 species
UAUGCAAGGACAAGCUCUCUCC